rnacentral:rRNA from 1 species
UACGAAGGGGGCUAGCGUUGUUCGGAAUUACUGGGCGUAAAGAGCGCGCAGGCGGCUGGUCAAGUCCGAUGUGAAAGCUCCCGGCUUAACUGGGAAAUUGCAUCGGAAACUGAUCGGCUGGAAGGUGGGAGAGGGUAGCGGAAUUCCCGGUGUAGUGGUGAAAUGCGUAGAUAUCGGGAGGAACACCAGUGGCGAAAGCGGCUACCUGGCCCAUUCUUGACGCUGAGGCGCGAAAGCUAGGGGAGCAAACGGG